GAGCAGUGUUGCAUAAAUGCACAAGGAACCUGGAACUUGGAAGAGCUGGAGUCUUACCUCUGACACUUACUGGCUGUGUGAUGUGCUAUCGAUGAACAUUGUGUUACAUUUUAGAAGUACUGGAAAUGCUGCUCCCAGUUCUCAGAGCCAUGGACCUGUCAUUCAUCUGAACAGCUCCUGAUGUCCUCCUGCCCUUCACUUGGCUCCCAAAUAAUUUCCCCAGAUAAGUUUUAGUCUUUCCUAGGGUUAGAAGCAACUCAGUCCCUAACAAAGUAGGGCACUCAAUAAAUACCUUAUUGAAUAAAUGAGUAAAAGAAAGAAUAAGGGGACCAAGGCAGUACAUCUUGAAUGGAUAGAGGAUUUGGUUCCUUGAUAAACAGUUGAGUCCAUCUUUUAUGGCCAUACAAGAUAGACUGAAAGAACUCUAUUGAAUCUUGGAGUGACCCAGAAGUUCAGGAACAGAAGGAAACCACUUUCUUGUGAAUUUGGAACUUCAGGCAAUCCCUUUCUCCAAUAUUCAUUUUAUCCUUACUCUUCUUAACUCUUUCAAGCCAAGAAAUUACUGUCUAGCAAAUGACUGCCAUUUUUUACUCAGUUGGGCUGAAAUCAUUAAGGCUUUUUCCAGAUUCUAAACAGACAUCUGGCUCAAUGUUUGCCUUUUUCUAGGCAGCAGGAAUUAAACAUUCAGCAAUAUUGGUUUCUUGGUUUCUCUAGGGAAGUGGCUCUUUCGGAAAUUGUCCCUGUAUGUUUUCUUGUUUGGCUUGUUGGAAAUUGUACCUCUUGGACAGGCAGUAGUAUUUCUAUUUCUCAUGGUUAUGGGUCAGGGCUCUGACCUCCAUGUGUUUAAAAUCCUUCAAUUUUGAAUAAAAUGCAUUUACACAAUUCUUCUGACACUGCAUUGCCUGAGCUGCGCAAAGGCUAAAUCUGGAAAGGUUUAACAGAUCAGAAUCAAUUCUUCCACUUAUGCACAAGGGAUUAACACAGGCAACUCCCAUUAAUGUUAAUCAUCCAAACCUCUCAACUAUUAAAGUUUCACUGCUCUCAGGGAAAGAAAUCACACAUUAGAAGGAAGUGGAUAGGAAAGUAAAUUAUUCCCAUACAUCUUAGUGCAUAGGGAAAAGGGUUGGGGGAGAGAAAGGGUACGUGCAUAGAAGACAUUUGGGAAAUUAAGGUGUUUUCAUUACAGAAUAGUGAAGAGAAGUCCUUUCUUACCAUGUCUCUCUACCUCGCUUUGGCUGAGCAGGCCUACCAUCUGUGUUGGCAGGAAGUUUGCCCUUAGCUGUCUGGUGUCAUGAUGUUUCUCAAUUCUGGAGUACCUGCCCUGGUUCCUGGCAUUGGCCAAGCUGCCUUUCUGGACUGUAGUUGCAUGGAUUGGCGGAGGGUCGAUGGAUUGAAUACAGGAUUGGACCGAUAAAGACCUAGAUUCUGGAUAUUAUCCCCCACUGGCUCACCAUAAAGCUCUGGACAAAUCA